CAUGGCCUUUUGAAGUUAAUUUAAGGUYUGACCUGCCCACUGAGAAGUUAAAUGGCCGCGGUAUUUUGACCGUGCAAAGGUAGCAUAAUCAUUAGUUUUUUAAUUGAAAGCUUGUAUGAAAGGUUGAAUGAAAAAAUAACUGUCUCUAUUUAAUUUUAUUAGAAUUUUAUUUUUAAGUUAAAAAGCUUAAAUUUUUUUAAAAGACGAGAAGACCCUAUAGAGUUUGAUAAAAUCUUAAAAUUAUUAUUUUUAGAAUUUAUAGUUUGAUUUAAAGUGUUUUAUUUGAUUGGGGUGAUUGAAAAAUUAAAUAAACUUUUUUUUUAUUACUACAUUGAUUUAUGAGUUAUUGAUCCAAUAUUUUUGAUUAUAAGAUAAAAUUACCUUAGGGAUAACAGCGUAAUUUUCUUAAAGAGUUCUAAUCGAAAAGAAAGUUUGCGACCUCGAUGUUGGAUUAAAAUUAAUUUUUGGUGUAGAASCUAAAAAUAUUAGGUCUGUUCGACCUUUAAAAUUUUACAUGAUCUGAGUUUAAACCGGUGUGASCCAGGU
rnacentral:rRNA from 1 species